rnacentral:rRNA from 1 species
ACAGGGAUUGCCCUAGUAACGGCGAGUGAAGCGGCAACAGCUCAAAUUUGAAAUCUGGCUCUUUUAGAGUCCGAGUUGUAAUUUGCAGAGGGCGCUUUGGCUUUGGCAGCGGUCCAAGUUCCUUGGAACAGGACGUCACAGAGGGUGAGAAUCCCGUACGUGGUCGCUGGCUAUUGCCGUGUAAAGCCCCUUCGACGAGUCGAGUUGUUUGGGAAUGCAGCUCUAAAUGGGAGGUACAUUUCUUCUAAAGCUAAAUAUUGGCCAGAGACCGAUAGCGCACAAGUAGAGUGAUCGAAAGAUGAAAAGCACUUUGGAAAGAGAGUCAAACAGCACGUGAAAUUGUUGAAAGGGAAGCGCUUGCAGCCAGACUUGCUUGCAGUUGCUCAUCCGGGCUUUUGUCCGGUGCACUCUUCUGUAGGCAGGCCAGCAUCAGUUUGGGCGGUAGGAUAAAGGUCUCUGUCACGUACCUCCUCUCGGGGAGGCCUUAUAGGGGAGACGACAUACUACCAGCCUGGACUGAGGUCCGCGCAUCUGCUAGGAUGCUGGCGUAAUGGCUGUAAGCGGCCCGUCUUGAAACACGGACCAAGGAGUCUAACAUCUAUGCGAGUGUUUGGGUGUCAAGCCCGAGCGCGUAAUGAAAGUGAACGGAGGUGGGAACCCGCAAGGGUGCACCAUCGACCGAUCCUGAUGUCUUCGGAAGGAUUUGAGUAAGAGCAUGGCUGUUGGGACCCGAAAGAUGGUGAACUAUGCUUGAAUAGGGUGAAGCCAGAGGAAACUCUGGUGGAGGCUCGCAGCGGUUCUGACGUGCAAAUCGAUCGUCAAAUUUGGGCAUAGGGGCGAAAGACUAAU